AGGGGAUUGGCGCCCACUGCUAGCCCCAGCACUUCCUUCUUCGCGCCGGGCUCUAGCUGUAACCGGAGAUACAUUCUACUCAUGGGAUGCGAAGGCGAAGGUGGCCGGGCGCUGCGCUGCCAUCUGAACAUGUUAUGUCUACUAACGAUGUCAAAAUGAAGCGACUAUUAUUACUCUUCAAUUCUUGAGCGCGACAACUUGGUGCCGAAGGUUUUAGUGACGCUGUUGAUGCAGAACCUAUGUACAAAGCCAAUGUCAACACUGCACUAACUAGGCAGACAAUAGUAGGUAAAACUUCGAUACUACUCAAUGGAUUUGAACGUGGUGUUUACAAGUGGAUAUCAAUAUAAUUAGGUGCGUUGUCAAAACUUUGUUUCGUCAAAACCAGUUCAAGGAAGAAUAAUUUGGGUUUUAAUAACUUAAACAUUUUUGAAUGCAAUUUACAUAACCGUAUUAAAUUUAGAUAAAGCUAGAAUUUCUACUUUAUUCAUAUCGAAAAAUGACAUAACACACUGCAAUCUCUAUUGAAUUUUAAAAUAAAAUAACACUGAAUAUAAUAACAGGCAACACUGUGACAAGCAAUCUUUAAAUAUGGUUUUAUUAAAAAUCGGAGAUGGCAACUGGCGUCAUUACUUCGCAAAGUUGUUGGAAGACGAACUCACAACUUUCCGCGGUCAAAGCGACUAUAGAAGAUAGAAUACACACGGGCAGAGCCGCCGACAAUAUCUAGUUAUAUAACCUAUAAUUCUCUCACUUAACUGGAACUGGUUUAUAAUAUUAAUUAUAUGCCUAGUAAGAUAGUAAUGAAUCGCUUUCUUAAACCUAUGUUCCGAUAUAUAAUUAUAUUCCUAGGGAUAUAACUAUAUGACAGCUUUGUCUAUCUUACAACAUAUAAGUUAGUAGUGUGUGAGUUUGCAAACAACCACGAUGACCUUCGAUCUGUGACUCACAUUAUCACGGCUUACGAAGUGGGUCGCUCGCCGGUCAAUGAACAGCAGCCGAGCCCAAACUACAUCGAUGAGUCCAGACGACUUCAUUCAAGGGAGAUACAAAUAUUUUGCGGAGUCACGGCACUGAACUGCUGUGACAUUGAGGUGCGGUUAACAUACCUACUACGUGACACGAGAGUAUAGG
rnacentral:lncRNA from 1 species